ACGGGUGAGUAAAGUAUCGGAACGUACCUUUCAGUGGGGGAUAACGUAGCGAAAGUUACGCUAAUACCGCAUAUUCUGUGAGCAGGAAAGCAGGGGAUCGCAAGACCUUGCGCUGAUUGAGCGGCCGAUAUCAGAUUAGCUAGUUGGUGAGGUAAAGGCUCACCAAGGCGACGAUCUGUAGCGGGUCUGAGAGGAUGAUCCGCCACACUGGAACUGAGACACGGUCCAGACUCCUACGGGAGGCAGCAGUGGGGAAUUUUGGACAAUGGGGGCAACCCUGAUCCAGCCAUGCCGCGUGAGUGAAGAAGGCCUUCGGGUUGUAAAGCUCUUUCGGCCGGGAAGAAAUCGCAUGGGUUAAUACCCUGUGCGGAUGACGGUACCGGCAUAAGAAGCACCGGCUAACUACGUGCCAGCAGCCGCGGUAAUACGUAGGGUGCGAGCGUUAAUCGGAAUUACUGGGCGUAAAGCGUGCGCAGGCGGUUUGUUAAGACAGGCGUGAAAUCCCCGGGCUCAACCUGGGAACUGCGCUUGUGACUGGCAGGCUAGAGUACGGCAGAGGGGGGUGGAAUUCCACGUGUAGCAGUGAAAU
rnacentral:rRNA from 1 species